rnacentral:rRNA from 1 species
UACGUAGGUGGCGAACGUUAUCCGGAAUUAUUGGGCGUAAAGGGCGCGCAGGCGGCAGAUCAAGUCAGACGUGAAAGCCCCGGGCUUAACCUGGGAACUGCGUUUGGGACUGGUUUGCUAGAGAUCGGGAGAGGAGAGUGGAAUUCCCAGUGUAGAGGUGAAAUUCGUAGAUAUUGGGAAGAACACCGGUGGCGAAGGCGGCUCUCUGGACCGAUACUGACGCUGAGGCGCGAAAGCGUGGGGAGCAAACAGG